GCAACCUACCUAUAACUGGGGGAUAGCCUUCCGAAAGGAAGAUUAAUACCGCAUAACAUAAUCGAUUGGCAUCAAUUGAUUAUUAAACCUCAGGGGGUUAUAGAUGGGCAUGCGUAACAUUAGCUAGUUGGUAAGGUAAAGGCUUACCAAGGCUACGAUGUUUAGGGGGUCUGAGAGGAUGAUCCCCCACACUGGUACUGAGACACGGACCAGACUCCUACGGGAGGCAGCAGUAAGGAAUAUUGGUCAAUGGACGCAAGUCUGAACCAGCCAUGCCGCGUGCAGGAUGACGGCCCUAUGGGUUGUAAACUGCUUUUAUACGGGAAGAAACCCUGAUACGUGUAUCAGGUUGACGGUACCGUAAGAAUAAGGAUCGGCUAACUUCGUGCCAGCAGCCGCGGUAAUACGAAGGAUUCGAGCGUUAUCCGGAUUUAUUGGGUUUAAAGGGUGCGUAGGUGGCUUAUUAAGUCAGUGGUGAAAUCCUAAUGCUUAACAUUAGAACUGCCAUUGAUACUGAUGAGCUUGAGUAUAUUUGAGGUGGGCGGAAUGUGUCAUGUAGCGGUGAAAUGCUUAGAUAUGACACAGAACACCAAUUGCGAAGGCAGCUCGCUAAACUAUAACUGACACUGAGGCACUAAAGCGUGGGGAUCAAACAGGAUUAGAUACCCUGGUAGUCCACGCCCUAAACGUUGAUAACUCGUUGUGUGCGAUACACUGCACGCAACCAAGCGAAAGCAUUAAGUUAUCCACCUGGGAAGUACGGUCGCAAGAUUGAAACUCAAAGGAAUUGACGGGGGCCCGCACAAGCGGAGGAGCAUGUGGUUUAAUUCGAUGAUACGCGAGGAACCUUACCCGGGCUUGAAAGUUAGUGAAUGACUUAGAAACAGGUCAGUCCGCAAGGACACGAAACUAGGUGCUGCAUGGCUGUCGUCAGCUCGUGCCGUGAGGUGUUGGGUUAAGUCCCGCAACGAGCGCAACCCCUAUCAUUAGUUGCCAACAGGUAAUGCUGGGGACUCUAAUGAGACUGCCCGCGCAAGCGGUGAGGAAGGUGGGGAUGACGUCAAGUCAGCACGGCCCUUACGUCCGGGGCUACACACGUGCUACAAUGGGUGGUACAGAAGGAAGCUACUUAGCGAUAAGAUGCAAAUCUCAAAAGCCACUCUCAGUUCGGAUUGGAGUCUGCAACUCGACUCCAUGAAGCUGGAUUCGCUAGUAAUCGGAUAUCAGCAAUGAUCCGGUGAAUACGUUCCCGGGCCUUGUACACACCGCCCGUCAAGCCAUGGAAGCUGGGUGGACCUAAAGUCGAUAACCGCAAGGAGUCGCCUAGGGUAAAUCAGUAACUGGGGCUAAGUCGUAACAAGGUA
rnacentral:rRNA from 1 species